rnacentral:rRNA from 1 species
GUGCCAGCCGCCGCGGUAAAACGUAGGACGCAAGCGUUAUCCGGAGUUACUGGGCGUAAAGGGCGUGUAGGCGGCUUUUCAAGUGGCUCGUGAAAGACUUCGGCUCAACCGGGGGAGGUCGGGUCAGACUGGAAAGCUAGAGGAUGUCAGAGGGACACGGAAUUCCGGGUGUAGUGGUGAAAUGCGUAGAGAUCCGGAGGAACACCAGUGGCGCAGGCGGUGUCCUGGGACGUACCUGACGCUGAGACGCGAAAGCAUGGGGAGCGAACGGGAUUAGAAACCCCCGUAGUCC